rnacentral:sRNA from 1 species
UCGACUAAGGUUCGACUUGAGCGCCAGCGAGAGAGCGUUGCCGCAGGCAACGACCCGAAGGGCGAAGCGCGCAGCGCUGAGUAAUCCUUCCCCCACCACCA